GGGUUGUGAGGUUAAGCGACCAAGCGUACACGGUGGAUGCCCUGGCAGUCAGAGGCGAUGAAGGACGUGCUAAUCUGCGAAAAGCGCCGGUAAGGUGAUAUGAACCGUUAUAACCGGCGAUGUCCGAAUGGGGAAACCCAGUGUGACUCGUCACACUAUCAUUAACUGAAUCCAUAGGUUAAUGAGGCGAACCGGGGGAACUGAAACAUCUAAGUACCCCGAGGAAAAGAAAUCAACCGAGAUUCCCCCAGUAGCGGCGAGCGAACGGGGAGGAGCCCAGAGCCUGAAUCAGCAUGUGUGUUAGUGGAAGCGUCUGGAAAGGCGCGCGAUACAGGGUGACAGCCCCGUACACAAAAGCGCAUGUGCUGUGAGCUCGAUGAGUAGGGCGGGACACGUGGUAUCCUGUCUGAAUAUGGGGGGACCAUCCUCCAAGGCUAAAUACUCCUGACUGACCGAUAGUGAACCAGUACCGUGAGGGAAAGGCGAAAAGAACCCCGGCGAGGGGAGUGAAACAGAACCUGAAACCGUGUACGUACAAGCAGUGGGAGCCUCUUUUAUGGGGUGACUGCGUACCUUUUGUAUAAUGGGUCAGCGACUUAUAUUCUGUAGCAAGGUUAACCGAAUAGGGGAGCCGGAGGGAAACCGAGUCUUAAC
rnacentral:rRNA from 1 species